CCAGAGAACUUAGCAGAGAUGCUUUCGGUGGCCUUCGGGAACUCUGAGACAGGUGCUGCAUGGCUGUCGUCAGCUCGUGUUGUGAAAUGUUGGGUUAAGUCCCGCAACGAGCGCAACCCUUAUCCUUUGUUGCCAGCGGCUCGGCCGGGAACUCAAAAGGAGACUGCCGGUGAUAAACCGGAGGAAGGUGGGGAUGACGUCAAGUCAUCAUGGCCCUUACGGCCAGGGCUACACACGUGCUACAAUGGCGCAUACAAAGAGAAGCGACCUCGCGAGAGCAAGCGGACCUCAUAAAGUGCGUCGUAGUCCGGAUUGGAGUCUGCAACUCGACUCCAUGAAGUCGGAAUCGCUAGUAAUCGUAGAUCAGAAUGCUACGGUGAAUACGUUCCCGGGCCUUGUACACACCGCCCGUCACACCAUGGGAGUGGGUUGCAAAAGAAGUAGGUAGCUUAACCUUCGGGAGGGCGCUUACCACUUUGUGAUUCAUGACUGGGGUGAAGUCGUAACAAGGUAAGCGUAGCGAG
rnacentral:rRNA from 1 species